UACAGAGGGGGCAAGCGUUGUUCGGAAUUACUGGGCGUAAAGGGCGCGUAGGCGGCCUGUUAAGUCGAACGUGAAAUCCCUGGGCUCAACCCAGGAACUGCGUCCGAUACUGGCAGGCUUGAAUUCGGGAGAGGGAUGCGGAAUUCCAGGUGUAGCGGUGAAAUGCGCAGAUAUCAGGAGGAACACCGGUGGCGAAGGCGGCUCUCUGGACCGUAACUGACGCUGAGGCGCGAAAGCGUGGGGAGCAAACAGG
rnacentral:rRNA from 1 species